rnacentral:rRNA from 1 species
GAGCCAAUACUAGCCCUACCAUAUCAAAACUAAAACCAAAAUAAUUCACUAAACUAAAUCAUUCACCCUACAUUCAAAGUAUAGGAGAUAGAAAUUUAUUUUUAGGCGCUAUAGAUAAAGUACCGUAAGGGAAAGAUGAAAGAUCUAUUAAUAGCAUAAAAAAGCAGAGACUAAUACUCUUACCUUUUGCAUAAUGAAUUAGCUAGAAAAUCCUUAGCAAAAAGAAUUUUAGUUAAUAACCCCGAAACCAGACGAGCUAUCUAUGAGCAGUUGCAAGAACGAAUCCGUCCAUGUAGCAAAAUGGUGGAAAGACUCGUAGAUAGAGGUGAAAAGCCAACCGAGCCUGGUGAUAGCUGGUUGUCCAGAAUAGAAUUUUAGUUCAACUUUAAAUUUUCCUAAAGGACAGACAGCCCUAAUGAAAGUUUAAAUGCUACUCUAAAGGGGGACAGCUCUUUAGAGACAGGAUACAACCUUUUAUAAAGAGUAAGUAAUUAUAUAUCCAUAGUUGGCUUAAAAGCAGCCAUCAAUUAAGAAAGCGUUAAAGCUCAACAAUCAAAAUUAACUUAAUUUAAGUAUUUAAGAACGAACUCUUAUAAACUUUUACUGGACCAAUCUAUUAAUUUUUAGAAGAGAUACUGCUAAUAUAAGUAACAAGAAUAAUAUUCUCCUUGCACAAGCUUAUAUCAGAUCGGAUGCCCACUGAUAGUUAACAACUAUAAUAGAAAAAACUCACAAACUAGUACUCUAUUAACUUUUACUGUUAACCCAACACAGGAGUGCAAUAUAGGAAAGAUUAAAAGAAGGAAAAGGAACUCGGCAAACCCUAACCCCGCCUGUUUACCAAAAACAUCACCUCUAGCAUUACUAGUAUUAGAGGCACUGCCUGCCCAGUGACAUACGUUUAACGGCCGCGGUAUCCUGACCGUGCAAAGGUAGCAUAAUCACUUGUUCCUUAAUUGGGGACUAGCAUGAAUGGCAACACGAGGGUUAAACUGUCUCUUCCUUCCAAUCAGUGAAAUUGACCUUCCCGUGAAGAGGCGGGAAUAAAUUAAUAAGACGAGAAGACCCUAUGGAGCUUUAAUUAUUUAGCCCAACAUUUCCUAAAUCCCACUCCAUAGGAGUUUAAUAAUGGGGAAAGCCUCUGGGUUAAAAAUUUUGGUUGGGGUGACCUCGGAGCAUAAACAAACCUCCGAAUGAUUUUAGCCUAGACUCAACAAGUCAAAGCACUCAUAAUCAUAAAUUGACCCAAAUUUUUUUUGAUCAACGGAACAAGUUACCCUAGGGAUAACAGCGCAAUCCUAUUCUAGAGUUCUCAUCGACAAUAGGGUUUACGACCUCGAUGUUGGAUCAGGACAUCCCAAUGGUGCAGCCGCUAUUAAAGGUUCGUUUGUUCAACGAUUAAAGUCCUACGUGAUCUGAGUUCAGACCGGAGUAAUCCAGGUCGGUUUCUAUCUAUUAGGUAUUUCUCCCAGUACGAAAGGACAAGAGAAAUAGAGCCCACUGCCCCGCAGAGCUCUAAGUUUAAAAGAUGAAAUAAUCUUAAUCUAGUACACUUCCCUAAAUACAACCCAAGACCAGGGUUU